CUACGGGCUGCUCCAGUGAGGAAUAUUGCACAAUGGGGGGAACCCCGAUGCAGCAACGCCGCGUGGAGGAUGACGCAUUUCGGUGUGUAAACUCUUUCUAUAUGUCAAGAAAAUGACGGUAGCAUAUGAAUAAGCACCGGCUAACUCCGUGCCAGCAGCCGCGGUAAUACGGAGGGUGCAAGCGUUACUCGGAAUCACUGGGCGUAAAGGACGCGUAGGCGGGUUGGAAAGUCAGGUGUGAAAUCCUACAGCUUAACUGUAGAACUGCACUUGAAACUUCUAAUCUAGAGUAUGGGAGGGGGAGAUGGAAUUAGUGGUGUAGGGGUAAAAUCCGUAGAUAUCACUAGGAAUACCUAAAGCGAAGGCGAUCUCCUGGAACAUUACUGACGCUAAGGCGUGAAAGCGUGGGGAGCAAACAGGAUUAGAUACCCGCGUAGUC
rnacentral:rRNA from 1 species